UCCGUCUCUUCUCGCAACCUGGGAAAGGAGUUGAGCUGCAAGGAGAGGAGAGCAGACAGCACUGCAGUUUGCCGGGGUCUAACUCAAACCAACAGUCACAAACAGAUCACCACAAACAGAUCAGU